rnacentral:misc_RNA from 1 species
AGCAGCCGCGGUAAUUCCAGCUCCAAUAGCGUAUAUUAAAGUUGUUGCAGUUAAAAGCUCGUAGUUGAAUUUCGGGGUUAGUAGGUUGGUCAUGCCUCUGGUAUGUACUGGUCUCACUGAUUCCUCCUUCCUGAUGAGCCGUAAUGCCAUUAAUUUGGUGUUGCGGGGAAUUUGGACUGUUACUUUGAAAAAUUGAGUGUUUAAAGCAAGCUAACGCUUGAAUACAUUAGCAUGGAAUAAUGAAAUAGGACGUUCGAUCCUAUUUUGUUGGUUUCUAGGAUUGACGUAAUGAUUAAUAGGGAUAGUUGGGGGCAUUAGUAUUCAAUUGUCAGAGGUGAAAUUCUUGGAUUUAUUGAAGACUAACUACUGCGAAAGCAUUUGCCAAGGAUGUUUUCAUUAAUCAAGAACGAAAGUUAGGGAUCGAAGACGAUCAGAUACCGUCGU